rnacentral:lncRNA from 10 species
CCAAAUUAUGAAGCUGGAAACUAAAGGAAUGUUCAACUCUAGAGUUUAGAAAAGAGCCGGGUGCAGUGGCUUACACCUGUAAUCCCAGCACUUUGGGAGGCUGAGGCGGGUGGAUCAUUUGAGGUCAGGAGUUCGAGGCCAGACGGGCCAACAUAGUGAAACCCCGUCUGUAAUAAAAAUACAAAAAUUAGCUGGGCAUGGUGGUGCGUGCCUGUAAUCCCAGCUACUCAGGAGGCGGA